UAGGGACACAGGGAUUUAAUGGUUCAGCUCUGCCAAGGAAGGGAGCUGAGUUCUCCUUGAGUUACAGGAGAACAAGAAUUUUAUUCUGAAACAGCAACAAAAAAUGUCCUGGUUUAUUUGCCACUUAUUUUUCCCUCUCUCAACACAGAGCCUGCUAUCGAAGACAGCUUUUCCUUCAUCUGCCACAAAGGUCCCGGCCAAAGGCCUCCGGCACCUGAGGCUCACUCCCCGCGCUGACCUUGAGGACUCCUCCCACGCUUCCCUUGUCAACAUUAACCCCUUCACACCCGAGUCCUACCGACAAACGCUCUUCCAUCCCCACGGCAAGAGGAAGGCUGCAGGAGAGCUGAAUGAUCCUCAUCCAGGAAGCCAGAUUAAAAAGGAGCUCCCUACCAAGAGAUACACUCUGAAGGCGAGCAAUAUGGUUUCCCGCUACAAGAAGGAGUUCCUGGAACUAGAAAAAAUCGGUGUGGGGGAAUUUGGCUCUGUCUACAAGUGCAUCAAACGCCUUGAUGGAUGUGUUUAUGCCAUCAAACGCUCCAAAAGGCCUCUGGCAGGAUCCUCAGAUGAGCAGCUGGCCCUGCGGGAGGUGUAUGCCCACGCCGUGCUGGGGCACCACCCCCACGUCGUGCGCUACUACUCGGCCUGGGCGGAGGACGACCACAUGAUAAUCCAGAAUGAGCACUGCAAUGGUGGGAGUCUCCAGGAUGCACUGCUGGAAAAUGCAAAGCUUGGGCAGUAUUUCCCAGAAGCAGAGCUGAAGGAAAUAUUGCUGCAAGUCUCCAUGGGACUAAAAUACAUCCACAACUCUGGCCUUGUGCACCUGGAUAUCAAACCUAGUAAUAUCUUCAUCUGUCACAAGCUGGCAGUUUCAGGCCCUGCUGGGCAGGAGGAGAGUGACAGUGAAGAUGAGUUCUCUCCUGGUGUGGUGUAUAAGAUUGGUGACCUUGGACAUGUGACAUCAAUAACAAACCCUCAGGUGGAGGAAGGAGACAGACGCUUUUUGGCCAAUGAAAUUUUGCAAGAGCAAUACUGCUACCUGCCCAAGGCGGACAUCUUUGCCCUGGCCCUCACGGUGGCUCUGGCAGCUGGGACAGCACCACUGCCCCACAACGGGGCCCUGUGGCACCACAUCCGCAAGGGCAACGUCCCACCCAUCCCCCAGAAGCUUCCCCACCGUUUUCUGGAGCUCCUCAAGCUCAUGAUCCACCCUGACCCAGCACAGAGACCUUCUGCCACGGCUCUCACCAAGCACCCUGUUCUCCGUCCUUCCUCUGGAAAAGCUGUGCAGCUCCAGGAGCAGCUCAAUAUGGAGAAAUGCAAGACUGCCAUGCUGGAGAGGGAACUUAAAGCAGCUCGCCUUGCCCAGAGCCUCAUGAAGGACCAAGCCUUAGGAAGUGCCAAGUUACAAGAGUCUGAAACCUCUUCUAAGCAGAAGAGCAAGCGUCUGGUGGGAGGGAAGAGCUGUCGCUCCUUUAGCUUUACUCUGGGUUUCUGAAUUUCUGUGGUGUCCAAAGACCGCUAAAUGGCCCUGUGAAAGCAGAGGGUCUGCGCAGACCAGUGCCCCAUAUUCUCUCCCUGUUUCUUUUUUUCUUUUGUUCCCCUAUUAGUUAUGAUGAGAUGGCUGAGAAAAUGACUGACUUACAAGUGUUGGAUAAUGGGAUUUAAGGUUGUCCUCAGUCUUUUACUUGUUUAAUUUCUUGUGUAAUGGGCCUUGCUAAUAGACUCAGUGUAACUCUGCCAUGACAAAAGAAUGGCACUUUCUCUACUCACUUCCCUCUUUCUUGAGUUGAGCCCUGUUAUUGGUGAUUUUGUUGUCUUAACACUUGGGCUGAUUGUAUUUUUAGAGGGGUGGUGAUGGCUGUGCAGGGAGACAGCAGCUACAGCUGGCCCCUUCUAGGAGCAAGCAGGCAGAGACUAUGGCAGCCAGUUUUAGCUACACAUCAGGAGCCAGGCUGGUUACACACAGCUGUCCUGGGGGCUCAGGAUGCAGCUGAGUGGUGUUUCACUGAGGGGGGACACAGAGUCAUAGGAAAUACUUUGAAUUAAGGAGUGGGAGUUGAAGAAAAACAUUCAUUGAUAUUUUUGUAACUGAGUGUGCUCUAACAGACUAGUCCCUGAUACGCGACUCGUUUUCUGUCAGUCGGGGAGGAUUCCUUGUUCGCCUGGGGGAGACAGCUGCAGAGUGUUGGUAGCUGGGUCUGUCUUUACCCAUUUCCCCUGCAGUACCUCGCAGGUGCUGCAGCUGCUUGCCUGUGAACUGCAGCCUUUCAGCAAAGAUGGGGCAAUUAGAAAGAGCUUUUCCCGCUUUUUGGAGUUGCCCUUGUUGAUGGCUGUAUGUAUUUUGUAUUUGAGGUCUCAUACACCCUUCCCCCUCUCCCCGUUAAAUGUAACUGUGGGGGUCCUUGUCGCUUGUUUGUGUUGGACAGAGCGCUGCACUGCUAUGAGGGGAGCGCUUGGUAACUCGCUCAUUUCCAGCUUUUACUGGUUUGUUUGACGAUGUUGCACACGCUGGCUUUUAACUGUUCGAUCCUAUCGUUUCGUGCGAAUAAAGCUUUUAUCAUUUUUUAACCGAUGACGGAGUGAUGCAAUUUUGUUGGUUAUUAUUUUUUUUCCCCUCUGCGACCUCGGCGUCCCCCGAGGGCCGGGGCUGCAGGCGCUGCCCGGCUCAGAGGCGUUUCCGCCCGGAACCCGCGGCCCGACCCCUUCCUGUUCCGGCGGCAGCGGCGCGGGCUCGGCGCUCUGUGGGGCGCUGCUUCAGCCCUGCUUUUCCCUCCAGGUGCGAGCCCGGCGGCAGCAUGUGGCGGCGACCGGCGUGGCAGGUGCUAUGCCAGUUUGUAAGACAUGACUCUGACACGGUUAACUCACUGGUACUUGAGAGAU